ensembl:snRNA U6 U6 spliceosomal RNA
AUGCAUCACUUUGACAGCACAUAAACUAAAAUUGGAACUAUACAGAGAAGAUUAGCAUGGCCUCUGCAAAAGGAUGACAUGCAAAUUCGUGAAGCCUUCUACAGUUUU